UACGGAGGGUGCAAGCGUUAUCCGGAUUCACUGGGUUUAAAGGGUGCGUAGGUGGGUCUGUAAGUCCGUGGUGAAAUCUCCAAGCUUAACUUGGAAACUGCCAUGGAUACUAUAGGUCUUGAAUACCGUGGAGGUGAGCGGAAUAUGUCGUGUAGCGGUGAAAUGCUUAGAUAUGACACAGAACACCGAUUGCGAAGGCAGCUCACUAAACUGUAACUGACGCUGAGGCACGAAAGCGUGGGGAGCAAACAGG
rnacentral:rRNA from 1 species